ACGCUCGACACCUACGGAGGAGCAGUGGGGGAUAUUGCACAAUGGGGGAAACCCUGAUGCAGCAACGCCGCGUGAAGGAAGAAGGUCUUCGGAUUGUAAACUUCUGUCCUCAGGGAAGAUAAUGACGGUACCUGAGGAGGAAGCUCCGGCUAACUACGUGCCAGCAGCCGCGGUAAUCUGAGCGGGCUGGCAAGGC
rnacentral:rRNA from 1 species